rnacentral:rRNA from 1 species
GGGUUGUGAGGUUAAGCGACCAAGCGUACACGGUGGAUGCCCUGGCAGUCAGAGGCGAUGAAGGACGUGCUAAUCUGCGAAAAGCGCCGGUAAGGUGAUAUGAACCGUUAUAACCGGCGAUGUCCGAAUGGGGAAACCCAGUGUGACUCGUCACACUAUCAUUAACUGAAUCCAUAGGUUAAUGAGGCGAACCGGGGGAACUGAAACAUCUAAGUACCCCGAGGAAAAGAAAUCAACCGAGAUUCCCCCAGUAGCGGCGAGCGAACGGGGAGGAGCCCAGAGCCUGAAUCAGCAUGUGUGUUAGUGGAAGCGUCUGGAAAGGCGCGCGAUACAGGGUGACAGCCCCGUACACAAAAGCGCACGUGCUGUGAGCUCGAUGAGUAGGGCGGGACACGUGGUAUCCUGUCUGAAUAUGGGGGGACCAUCCUCCAAGGCUAAAUACUCCUGACUGACCGAUAGUGAACCAGUACCGUGAGGGAAAGGCGAAAAGAACCCCGGCGAGGGGAGUGAAACAGAACCUGAAACCGUGUACGUACAAGCAGUGGGAGCCUCUCUUUAUGGGGGGUGACUGCGUACCUUUUGUAUAAUGGGUCAGCGACUUAUAUUCUGUAGCAAGGUUAACCGCAUAGGGGAGC